rnacentral:pre_miRNA from 1 species
AAAAAGACAAACCCUGGGUUUCCGUGUUUAAUGUUUGACCGUCCGUCUUAUUUGAAAAAAUUAUGAAAAAAAUUAAAAAGACAAGUCACGCAUAAAGUAUUAAUCAUGUUUUAUCAUCUAACAAUAAUAAAAAUACUAAUUAUAAAAAAAUCAUAUAAGACGGACAGUCAAACGUUGGACACGGAAACCCAGAGUUUGUCUUUUU